GGUACCUAAAGAAUAAGCACCGGCUAACUACGUGCCAGCAGCCGCGGUAAUACGUAGGGUGCGAGCGUUAAUCGGAAUUACUGGGCGUAAAGCGAGCGCAGACGGUUAGUUAAGCAAGAUGUGAAAUCCCCGAGCUCAACUUGGGAACUGCGUUUUGAACUGGCUAGCUAGAGUGUGUCAGAGGGGGGUAGAAUUCCACGUGUAGCAGUGAAAUGCGUAGAGAUGUGGAGGAAUACCGAUGGCGAAGGCAGCCCCCUGGGGUAACACUGACGUUCAUGCUCGAAAGCGUGGGUAGCAAACAGGAUUAGAUACCCUGGUAGUCCACGCCCUAAACGAUGUCAAUUAGCUGUUGGGCAACUUGAUUGCUUAGUAGCGUAGCUAACGCGUGAAAUUGAUCGCCUGGGGAGUACGGUCGCAAGAUUAAAACUCAAAGGAAUUGACGGGGACCCGCACAAGCGGUGGAUGAUGUGGAUUAAUUCGAUGCAACGCGAAGAACCUUACCUGGUCUUGACAUGUACGGAAUCUUUCAGAGACGGAAGAGUGCCUUCGGGAACCGUAACACAGGUGCUGCAUGGCUGUCGUCAGCUCGUGUCGUGAGAUGUUGGGUUAAGUCCCGCAACGAGCGCAACCCUUGUCAUUAGUUGCCAUCAUUAAGUUGGGCACUCUAAUGAGACUGCCGGUGACAAACCGGAGGAAGGUGGGGAUGACGUCAAGUCCUCAUGGCCCUUAUGACCAGGGCUUCACACGUCAUACAAUGGUCGGUACAAAGGGUAGCCAAGCCGCGAGGUGGAGCCAAUCCCAGAAAACCGAUCGUAGUCCGGAUUGCACUCUGCAACUCGAGUGCAUGAAGUCGGAAUCGCUAGUAAUCGCAGGUCAGCAUACUGCGGUGAAUACGUUCCCGGGUCUUGUACACACCGCCCGUCACACCAUGGGAGUGAGGGAUACCAGAAGUAGAUAGGGUAACCGCAAGGAGCUCGUUUACCACGGUAUGUUUCAUGACUGGGGUGAAGUCGUAACAAGGUAGCCGUAGGGGAACCUGCGGCUGGAUCACCUCCUUU
rnacentral:rRNA from 1 species